UGCCCUCCCCAGGGAGAUAAUCACUCUCCUCUCUGCUUUCACAUGUAUUAUGGCAUGUCUCUUUAUAUGUUGGUCUCUCCCAAAUGUCUUAGAAGAUUCAUGGGGCAAUCCCAAUCUGAUUGAGGAAGAAGUAUCCUAGAAACAUCUACUGAUGAACAAAAAUAUCAGGUAUUCACACACACAGAGUGCUACCUACUGAAGAGAUGCUCUCCAGUUGGAGAGAAAAGCUUAAUGGAGAAGAUGUCAUUGAGGAGAACCUGGAAGGGCAGGUAAAGAAAUAAAAGAGGACAAGAAAAGAUGUUUUCCCAUCCCUGACAUUUUCUGGUCCAGCAAGGACAAGCUGAAAAGCUGAUUAACAAGCUUCCCAGGAGACAGAUCCAACUGGCAUCUAAGGAUGAGAGGGCUUAUCUUCUGAUUUUUGGUUAAGAUGCAGACAACCAAAGAGGUUUCAGAAAAUCUGCUGAUGCCCACCCAGCAUCCGGUUAAGCAGACAAGGUAUAGUAAACAAACCAACAGGAACAGGAAGAGAGUAGCUAUCUCAGAAUAUAGAUAUAAAUCAAUAUCUUCACAAAGUCACUCUUCCUUUCAAAGGCUUCAAAACAAGAACUUCUUCUCAUCUAUUUUAUUUAUCUCAUUUGUGCCCUACUUAAUAGAUAUUGAUUUGAUACGCACGUGCCAUUUAAAUAGAAAAUAUAAAAUGAAUAUUCUAAUUGUAAUUGAAGAAUGCCAACUUAAUCCAGAAGUUCCCUGUGUAUAAAAGACCUUCCAAAAAUUGUCUGUAUCCCUUCCUUCUCUCUCACUGUCUGGGGAGAACCUGAUUCUGGGGCAGAAGCCAUGCAGCCCAAGAAGACACCUGCCGCUGAAAUGGUUCUCUGGAAUCUACCACCGGCCAGAUGUCUCAGGUCCUGAGAAAACUCAAACACCAUCUAAAAGUUUCCACUGGAUGACUGAGACCAUUAAAUUUUCUUUUGAGAAAUAUGUAAACAUAGAUAGUUUAUCUGUUGCACUUCCUUUGCCUGCAAGUGACAGGAGCUCCCAACUCAAAUGCCUUAAAAAACAAAGACAUUUUUGUCCCAGAAAAUAAGAAGUCUGAAAAUAGGAGGAUUCAGGUAUAAUUUCCUAAGUCUUUAACUUUCUUUCUGACUCUUGGCUCUGCCCUUCUAUAUACAGUGGC